rnacentral:rRNA from 1 species
CGCGUAGGCGGCCAGGUAAGUCCGACGUGAAAUCUGGAGGCUCAACCUCCAGCGGUCGUUGGAAACUACUUGGCUAGAGUCCGGAAGAGGAGAGUGGAAUUCCUGGUGUAGCGGUGAAAUGCGCAGAUAUCAGGAAGAACACCGAUGGCGAAAGCAGCUCUCUGGGACGGUACUGACGCUGAGGCGCGAAAGCGUGGGAGCGAACA